rnacentral:rRNA from 1 species
UACGUAGGGUGCAAGCGUUGUCCGGAAUUAUUGGGCGUAAAGAGCUCGUAGGCGGUUCGUCGCGUCGGCUGUGAAAACCUGAGGCUCAACCUCAGGCUCGCAGUCGAUACGGGCGGACUUGAGUACUGCAGGGGAGACUGGAAUUCCUGGUGUAGCGGUGAAAUGCGUAGAUAUCGGAAGGAACACCGAUGGCGAAAGCAGCGCGCUGGACCUUUACUGACGCUGAGGCGCGAAAGCCAGGGGAGCAAACGGG